CGCGAAUUUAGGUAAAAGCUGUCAACGCAACGUCAAAAGAGUAAAAAGAACGCUUAAAUGGACAAAAAAAUCUUGAGCCGUGACCGUAUUAAGACUUGAUUUAAGUUAUUAAUUUUAAGGUAGAAUGAGGUAUUCAAACUUGAUUAAUUAAUUUAAAUUUUUAAUAGAGUUUAUUAAGUCUUUUAUAUUUCGAUUCAUAAUGAAACACGAAUAGGUAUAAUAUGUAAAAUAUAUAUUAAGUACAAAAUAAAGACAGUCACAUAGUGAAAAAUAAAUCUGCCCCCUUACAGCUCCAUCAUCGGACCCUGGAUACGAAUAAUGAAACACGAAUAGGUAUAAUAUGUAAAAUAUAUUAAGUACAAGAUAAAGACAGUCACAUAGUGAAAAAAAAAAAUCUGCCCCCUUACAGCUCCAUCAUCGGACCCUGGAUACGAAAUAUUCGUCAAGGCGAAUCACACAAGCCCAAACUCCAUAUGGUUCUAUUGUUUUGUUACGGAGGUGGCCAUUGCAUCUCCUCCAGAUCCAUUUAUCAGACAGAGCUAAGAAAUAAAUAAAUAAAUAUUAUUAUAAGUAAACAAAUAACUAAAAUAAUUCAUCUUACUUACUUUUUACUAGUCUUACUAAUAUUAUAAAUACGAAAGUUUGUGUGGAUGUCUGGAUGUUUGUUACACUUUCACGCAAAAACCACUGAACAGAUUUUGAUGAAACUUUACAGUACAGUACAGCAGUACUAGGCAGUCUGUGUUCAACUAUCACUCGGGUCGGACGUUCCUAUUGCAAGACCUUUGGUUCACUCAGUUCCGAUACGACUCUAGUGCUGUGUGUAAUUAUUUUCGUUAAUACACUGAGUUUAUUAAUUUCUACGAGUGGAUUUCAUUUUGCCUGAGACCUACGCCAUGAACCCUGAACCAGAAGACCCUGUCGCCAGCGACAGCGACGCUCAUCCAUCCCUGGCGUCGACCAGAAUAACAAUGUAUAGGCUAUAAUUUAUGACGAUCUGUGACAAACUAAAUUUCAAGCGGGUGAAGCCGCGGGCAAUACUACAUAUUUCAUACUAGCUUUUUGCCCGCGACUUCUUCUGCGAUGAAGUGGAAAAUGGUUUCUACAUUAUAGAUUUAAAAUAUUCUAAGAAAAUUAAUUUUGUUAAAUGAUUAUAUUUUUUGAUAUAAAAUCUACACAUCAUUAUGUUUAAAUAUUUGAAUACUUACAAAAUUAUGAGAUCUUUCUAAAACAAAAUUAAAACACUACACCUGCCGCAGAUUUCUUUGUAAACAAUGUUUUUUUGUUUUUCCUUCAGGUGCUAAAAUCACCAGGCUAUUGUGUGCGCAUACUCUGGAGUAUUCCACAUACAGCUGGUCGUCGGAGAAGCAUAGAUUUCCAUUAAGUCUACUCCCGCUACCAUAUGGAACUCCGCUAAAACUCGUGAGGGCGCCAACACUUGCUUUUGUAUCGAAAAUUAGUAUGAGCAGCUGCGCACGCGGUUGCCCGUUGCAGGCUCUAUGCAACCACACUAUUUUAAACCGUGGUCCCUAAGCAUGAGAUGGGAAACUGCACUCUCUUGAAUUCUCUUGAAUUUGAUGGUGUUAGGGGAAUCCUAGGAAUGAAUACAGACUUUCCAAUGGAAUCUCCUCAUCAAUAUUGCGAAAUUGCGAGUUGCAAUGCAAUGUUACGUUUUCACUUGUUAUUUUAUUGUAAUCUGACCUUGAUUUUUCAAACACGUGUCAAAAUAAAAAAAAAUAAUUUAAAUCAAAAGUACUAAGGAAUAUUUCAUUGAUAUCAACUUAGAAACAAGCACAGAUCACAGAAACUAAAGGGAAAUGUGACAAGGGACAAAUUGGAACAUAUUGCUUGUGAAAGCAAUGAUGACAGUAGCGACGUCAUUAUGUAAACAGUUUAUAUUGCUUGCAUAGUACUAAAGAUUAUUCGAACGUUGAAUACUGAUACCGCAAUGGAUAAUGAGCACAUAAUUUGAUUUCUUUGUGUGUGUGAAUUUCUAAUACGACACUAACACCCGUAUUCACAAACGAUACUUACCUAUGCAAAGCAGCAACGCUAUGCGAAAUGAGACAUUUCUCAAUGCGUUCCAUAUGACAAGCCUUUCAAUUCAUAAACAAUACUUAAACGACCCUUGACUAUGCAAAAUCAGAGUGUUGAAUAGAGUUCUGUGAUUGGUUCGCUUAUGUUACGCACUUCACUUCGCUAACUGACAUGACAUUCCUGUCAUUCAAACGGUGCAACGGUUUUUAUGUGUCGUUAUUUUGUGGAUUUGUGAAUUAAAUAAAUAUGGAUAAAACUACAACUAUCAGAUAAAAAAGCUGCCGUUUUCUUCUUCCGAAAGAGAGCUGCUGAUUGUAGCAUAAUUAGAGAAAGGCCUAUUAUUGAAGACAAGCAUAUUAUUAUCCUCUCUAAAAUAUCGAGUUGACGAAGCAGGCCUGGGAAACUCUAACAGUGGCGUACAAUUCUGAACCAUAUUUUAUGUUUCACAAAGGCUCACACAUCAACUGAAAAGCUGCUGGAAUAAUUUAAAGACCCAAAGAAUGAAAGAACUUUCUCAGGAAUUAAUUAAACGUUCUCAACACCCACUAGUAUCAAGAAAUUAAGAUUAGUAGUAGCAAGAAUGAAGAUUAAGACAGAAACAAGAAUCAAACGCACCACAUUGAAUAAUAUACAACAAGACCAGGCUUUGCACGAGUUGGGGCUACAAAGAGAAAAAAUAUUGAUAGAAAGAGAAAAUAAUUUGUUAGAACAUGAAAAAAAGAUUUAUGAUUUACAAAUACAUAAAAUUAAA